CUUUCUGAUGAUCACUUUUUUUGCUUCGGCAAGUUGGAAUUACCGACUGAGGUCUCCGUUGAAGAUAACAAAUGGCUGUUUCUGAAU
rnacentral:snoRNA from 1 species